GUUAAAAAUUGGUCAACUCAUGAAUAUGUUUUUACAACUGACAUUUAUGUCUUUUUGCAAUAUGGUCCAUAUGCUCUAAAACUUGGUAAACCAUGUUUUUCUUAGUACACAACAGACACAUGUAGACUUGUAUCAGAAAAAUAAAACAAAAGAGCUUAUUUGUUGAUUUGUUGAAGACAGAACAGAGAAUGAUGUCCUCUUCCACUUCCAAGAUGCAUCAUCUUGAUCUUCAGCUUCAAACUACCUUAAUGGCUACUACCACUUUUUCCCACCUCACCCAGGCAAGUCUCUGUUUCUUUCCCCCUUACAAUUUUGUCCCCUCUCUUCUGAACUCUCUUUUGCACUAUAACAGAAGGAGCCUUCAACUCUCAUGCAGCAGCUUGUCUUCUAACGACAAUGACCACAACCUCCGAGUAGUCUUUGCGGGCGGCGGUACUGGCAGCAAUGUGUACCCCGCGGUGGCCAUCGCGGAAGAGCUCAAAACAUCAAACCCCGCGUGCGAGUUUCUCUUUGUUGGCAGCCCCAACAGCAUUGAGAGCACUGCAGUCACCUCUGCAGGGUACAACUUUGCCCCUGUUCUCUCACUCUGUUUCUCCCCUGUUUCAUCCAUCACUCUGUUUCAACUCUGUUCUUCCCCUUGCCGUUUUGUAAAAUCCCUGAUCCAAUGCUCACGCCACCUCCGAGAUUUCAAACCUCACAUUGUUGUUGGAACCGGUGGCUAUGUCUCUUUCCCCGUUUGCCUCGCCGCGAAAAUCAACAACAUCAUGGUUGUGAUUCAUGAACCAAACUCUGCCCCUGGUUUCGUAAACUCUGUUCUUGCCCUGUUUGCUCAUAAAAUCUUUGUUGCUUUCAACUCAACCGUUGAUAGCUUCCCCAGAAACAAGUGCGUGGUGUGUGGAAACCCGGUGAGGUUGUCUCUCAGAAACCCGGUUUCGAAGGCGGCUGCAAGGUCUCAUUUUUUCCCUGGUUAUGGGGAAUCGAGUGAUUCCGAGAAGGACAAGGUUUUGUUAGUUCUUGGUGGUUCUUUAGGUGCUAAUGCUGUAAACAUAGCUAUGCUGAAUUUGUAUCAUCAGAUGCUGAGACAGAACAAUGGCUUGUACCUUAUAUGGCAAACUGGGGUUGAAACGUAUGAUGAAAUGGACAGCCUAGUUAAAAAUCAUCCACGCUUGUACUUGACACCGUUCAUGCACUGUAUGGAUUUGGCAUAUGCUGCUGCAGACUUGAUUGUAUCUAGAGCGGGUGCAAUGACUUGCUAUGAAAUAUUGGCAACUGGGAAACCUUCUAUCCUGAUACCAUCGCCACAUUUAUCUGAGGGAAAUCAAUUCAGAAAUGCUUCCUUGCUGGCAGACUUAGCUGGUGUGACAGUGAUAACUGAGGAGGAUCUCGACUCAUGCACACUAGCCAUUGCAAUUGAAGGGAUUUUCAGGGACAAGAAGAAGAUGGAAGAAAUGUCUGAGAGGGCUCUCAAAGCGGCGAACCCCAAAGCUUCAGCUGAGAUUGCAAAACACAUAUUUUCUCUUGUUAGACAAUCAAUAAAAAGUGGAGAAAUUGCUAAAGAGUAGGGAUGUUAGCUUGGCGAUUCAAAUAAGUUCCUGCUUGCUACAGAUCUCAAUUGUUUUGUCAGGAACAGGGAGAUGAUGAUCGAGUUGAAGAAUACAACUAGUCCAUUGAUUUGAUAGGAUAAUGCAAUAUCCCAUUAAGACAAUUUUGGUGUAAAGCUGCAUUAUUAGUGCAUUUUACAAUAAAGCAAUUCAUUUUACUGAGAAA